rnacentral:rRNA from 1 species
CCUACGGGAGGCUGCAGUGGGGAAUAUUGGACAAUGGGGGCAACCCUGAUCCAGCCAUGCCGCGUGUGUGAAGAAGGCCCUCGGGUUGUAAAGCACUUUCAGUGAGGAAGAACGCCUGGUGGUUAAUACCCAUCAGGAAAGACAUCACUCACAGAAGAAGCACCGGCUAACUCCGUGCCAGCAGCCGCGGUAAUACGGAGGGUGCGAGCGUUAAUCGGAAUUACUGGGCGUAAAGCGCGCGUAGGUGGCUUGAUAAGCCGGUUGUGAAAGCCCCGGGCUCAACCUGGGAACGGCAUCCGGAACUGUCGAGCUAGAGUGCAGGAGAGGAAGGUAGAAUUCCCGGUGUAGCGGUGAAAUGCGUAGAGAUCGGGAGGAAUACCAGUGGCGAAGGCGGCCUUCUGGACUGACACUGACACUGAGGUGCGAAAGCGUGGGUAGCAAACAGGAUUAGAUACCCUAGUAGUC